UGGCGGCGACUGUCGGGCUUCAGACGUCAUCUGGCUGCGCCGAGCUGGCCGUUGCUUAUCUGUUGCUAGGGGGUGCCUACAGCCGAGUCGCUCUGUCAGGAUCAUGCCUGACAGGGACAGAUUUCUUGGUCAGCAGAGGCCACUAGGCUUGGAUGAAAGAAGCAGGGCAGAUGCAAAAUCUGGAGAGCGUGUGCGCUGGGCGGUCAGUCAGCACCCAGACUGGCAGCAUGACGGGUCAAAUACCAAGGCUUUCUAAAGUCAACCUCUUCACUCUGCUCAGUCUGUGGAUGGAGCUCUUUCCAGGAGCAGAAGCCCAAAGACAAAAAUCUCAGAAAAAUGAAGAGGGAAACUGUGGACCAUCAGGAGAUAAUGAAGAGAUGGCCAGUGUAUCUACUGACAAAAAACAGGUGAAGAAAACUGGUCUUGUGGUGGUGAAAAACAUGAAAAUUGUUGGUCUCCAUUGUUCUAGUGAAGAUUUACAUGCUGGGCAAAUUGCUCUUAUUAAACAUGGGUCAAGGCUGAAAAACUGUGAUCUUUAUUUUUCCAGAAAACCAUGUUCUGCUUGUUUGAAAAUGAUUGUAAAUGCUGGAGUUAACCGAAUUUCAUAUUGGCCUGCUGAUCCAGAAAUAAGCUUGCUUACUGAGGCUUCUAGUUCUGAAGAUGCAAAAUUAGAUGCCAAAGCAGUGGAAAGAUUGAAGUCAAACAGCCGAGCCCAUGUGUGUGUUUUACUCCAGCCUUUGGUGUGUUAUAUGGUGCAGUUUGUAGAGGAGUCUUCUUACAAAUGUGACUUUAUUCAAAAAAUUGCAAAAACAGUGCCAGAUGCUAACAUUGACUUUUAUUCUGAAUGUAAACAAGAAAGAAUAAAAGAAUAUGAAAUGGUAUUUUUGGUUUCAAAUGAAGAAAAGCAUAAGCAAAUACUGAUGACUAUAGGUCUGGAGAACCUGUGUGAAAAUCCAUACUUUAGCAAUUUAAGGGAAAACAUGAAAGACCUUAUCCUCCUUUUGGCCACUGUAGCUUCCAGUGUGCCCAACUUUAAACACUUUGGAUUCUACAGUAGCAAUCCAGAACAGAUUAAUGAAAUUCACAAUCAAAGUUUGCCACAAGAAAUUGCAAGGCACUGCAUGGUUCAGGCCAGGCUUUUGGCAUAUCGAACUGAGGACCAUAAGACAGGAGUUGGAGCAGUUAUUUGGGCAGAAGGGAAAUCUAGAAGUUGUGAUGGAACUAGUGCUAUGUACUUCAUAGGAUGUGGUUACAAUGCCUUUCCUGUUGGAUCUGAAUAUGCUGACUUCCCUCACAUGGACGACAAGCAGAAAGACAGAGAAAUAAGAAAGUUCAGAUACAUUAUACAUGCGGAACAGAAUGCUUUGACAUUUAGGUGUCAAGAAAUAAAGCCAGAAGAAAGAAGCAUGAUUUUUGUGACCAAGUGCCCAUGUGAUGAAUGUGUACCUUUAAUUAAAGGUGCAGGCAUAAAACAAAUCUAUGCAGGGGAUGUAGAUGUUGGAAGAAAGAAAGCAGACAUCUCUUACAUGAAGUUUGCUGAACUUGAAGGUGUUAGCAAAUUUACAUGGCAACUGGAUCCAUCUGAAGUUUAUGGCCUUGACAAAAAUGAGCCUGAAAGGAGAGACAAUGGUGUGUUGAGAACCACUCCUGUGAAUGAAGAGCAGCACCGCAGCAAGAAGCUGCGCCUGGAAAAGCAUGCAGAGGGCCUGUCCAUGCUGCAGUGACAGCCCUGGAAACUGUUACUGCACUUCUUCAAUACAGCCUCGUGACCUCAGAAAAUAAGGAAAGAUUUUGUGAAUCACUGAAAGGACAUCUGGAUUUCUGAAAGGACAUCCAUGCUCACUGCAGGGCCACAGAUCACAGCCCAGCCCUAGACCCAGGAAGACCAUUCCUGAGAGAGCCGCCGUUAUGCCUCCUCCUAGGAGACUCUUUUGAGCCAUACUUGGAGCAUCUCCUCAUCAGAUAUCCUCUAAACCCAAUAGGUGAGGCAGACUCAGCUUUAAUACCCCAGGGAUGAAGAAAUUCCACCUCAUAAAGCCACACUGGAAGUGUCCUCAUUAAAAUGUUAUCUUUAUAGAAUGACUGCCACCCCAUCUCGUCCCCCACAUUUCCAUCAUUGAUCCCUGGAAUCUAACACAGACCUCUUUGUGUCUCAUCCUGUACUACAUGAAUGGCCUUCAGUAUGUGACCAAUUCCCACCCCUCUAAAAUUUACUGUGACAUUGACCAAAGGUUUCUGUGUUAUGGGCAAACACUUGUCACAUCACUUUUACAUUUAACUUUCACAGCAUGAAAUGGGGAUUAUCACCUCUUUUACAGACAAGAAGAUGGAGUGUCAGGUUACAUGUCUUACCCAAAACUUCACCUGUAGUCAUUGCAGCGCCAGGAAAUGAACAUUCUUCUCCAAAUUCACUGUUUACACAAUUCAUUAACUUUGUCCCAGUGUCUCUGCAUUUUUUUCUUUCCAUCUACAACUCUGCUUGUCUACUGUGAGACAAGAAUGUUAAUGGCCCUAAUUUUUCACUUUUCUGUAGUUACAUCCUUCACCAAAUGGCUUUGCAAGGUCCUCCAAGAGUAAGAGUGCACUUCUCCACCUUGACUUUGAAUUCCACAGAAUAAGGCAGAAAUGUCUUGAUCCAGUUCUGACAUCAAGCCUCAAGGAUGAUUCAGUUGUGUUUCUGCCACCACCAAACACCAGCACAGAGCCACCCCCAGCCAGGCCAGCCUAGAUUAGGGGUCCAGUGAUCAAUCCACAGACUCGUGAGGAAAAAAAUCAUUGGUUUCAAGUUUCAGAGGAUGUGUUACUCAGCAUUUGGUUAAUGAUUGUGUUUUAUUGAUUGUGUCAAUUUGAGUAAGAAGUUCAACUAAAGUGGCUCAACAGUCCCACACCCUAGGGUAUGGAAGACCCACCCUAAGGUGGCUUGUUGCCUGGAUGGUGUACGGGGAAAUGAAGUGGGAUGGAUCUGCUUCUUUUUCCUCAGGGGAGCUCCAGUCUUUGCCUUCACCUUGGACGUCAUCUCCCAGCUUCGGGUGCGCUCUCCAGCCUUCCUUCACAGACCCAUUGGCCUC